GAACGCUUGCGGCAGGCUUAAUACAUGCAAGUCGAACGGUAACAGGGUCUUCGGACUGCUGACGAGUGGCGGAUGGGUGAGUAACGCGUAUGCAACCUACCUUGCAUCGAGAAAAAGUCGACUGAAAAGUUGAAUAAAGUCUCGUGGUGUACAUGACUCGCAUGAGUGGUGUAUGAUAGAAGCAAUUUGGUGUAAGAUGGGCAUGCGUAUCAUUAGCUAGUUGGUAGGGUAACGGCUUACCAAGGCGACGAUGAUUAGGGGGCCUGAGAGGGUGGUCCCCCACACUGGGACUGAGACACGGCCCAGACUCCUACGGGGAGGCAGCAGUAGGGAAUAUUGGUCAAUGGGCGGAAGCCUGAACCAGCCAUGCCGCGUGAUGGAUGACGGCCUUAGGGUUGUAACAUCUUUUCUACUAGAGGAAUAAGUCCACGAGUGACAGACGACUGUAGUAGUAGG
rnacentral:rRNA from 1 species